rnacentral:rRNA from 1 species
GACGCCGCGUGGGGGAUGACGGCCUUCGGGUUGUAAACCUCUUUUACCACUCACGCAGGCCCCACGUCUUCGUGGGGUUGACGGUAGGUGGGGAAUAAGGACCGGCUAACUACGUGCCAGCAGCCGCGGUAAUACGUAGGGUCCGAGCGUUGUCCGGAAUUAUUGGGCGUAAAGAGCUCGUAGGCGGCGUGUCGCGUCUGCUGUGAAAGACCGGGGCUUAACCCCGGUUCUGCAGUGGAUACGGGCAUGCUAGAGGUAGGUAGGGGAGACUGGAAUUCCUGGUGUAGCGGUGAAAUGCGCAGAUAUCAGGAGGAACACCGGUGGCGAAGGCGGGUCUCUGGGCCUUACCUGACGCUGAGGAGCGAAAGCAUGGGGAGCGAACAGGAUUAGAUACCCUGGUAGUCCAUGCCGUAAACGUUGGGCGCUAGGUGUGGGGACUUUCCACGGUUUCCGCGCCGUAGCUAACGCAUUAAGCGCCCCGCCUGGGGAGUACGGCCGCAAGGCUAAAACUCAAAGGAAUUGACGGGGGCCCGCACAAGCGGCGGAGCAUGUUGCUUAAUUCGACGCAACGCGAAGAACCUUACCAAGGUUUGACAUCACCCGUGGACCUGUAGAGAUACAGGGUCAUUUGGUUGGCGGGUGACAGGUGGUGCAUGGCUGUCGUCAGCUCGUGUCGUGAGAUGUUGGGUUAAGUCCCGCAACGAGCGCAACCCUUGUUCCAUGUUGCCAGCACGUAAUGGUGGGGACUCGUGGGAGACUGCCGGGGUCAACUCGGAGGAAGGUGGGGACGACGUCAAGUCAUCAUGCCCCUUAUGUCUUGGGCUGCAAACAUGCUACAAUGGCCGGUACAAUGGGCGUGCGAUACCGUGAGGUGGAGCGAAUCCCUAAAAGCCGGUCUCAGUUCGGAUUGGGGUCUGCAACUCGACCCCAUGAAGGUGGAGUCGCUAGUAAUCGCGGAUCAGCAACGCCGCGGUGAAUACGUUCCCGGGCCUUGUACACACCGCCCGUCACGUCAUGAAAGUCGGCAACACCCGAAACUUGUGGCCUAACCCUUCGGGGAGGGAGUGAGUGAAGGUGGGGCUGGCGAUUGGGAUGAAGUCGUAACAAGGUAGCCGUAAUCUUGGAUACUCGCGACCGCCAGCUGGGCGACCGUAUGGGAGCGCUCCCAAUG